UUAAGAAAUCUUUGAUGA
rnacentral:snRNA from 1 species